rnacentral:rRNA from 1 species
UAUGGCUACACCAUCCUGAACAUGCCUGAUCUCAUCUAAUCUUAGAAGCUAAUAAAGAUCGGUCCUAGUUAGUACUUGGAUGGGAGACUGCUUGGGAAUACUGGGUAGAGCCAGGU